rnacentral:rRNA from 1 species
UACGUAGGGUGCGAGCGUUGUCCGGAAUUACUGGGCGUAAAGAGCUCGUAGGCGGUUUGUCGCGUCGUCUGUGAAAACCAGCAGCUCAACUGCUGGCUUGCAGGCGAUACGGGCAGACUUGAGUACUGCAGGGGAGACUGGAAUUCCUGGUGUAGCGGUGAAAUGCGCAGAUAUCAGGAGGAACACCGGUGGCGAAGGCGGGUCUCUGGGCCGUAACUGACGCUGAGGAGCGAAAGCAUGGGGAGCGAACAGG